ensembl:snoRNA LOC120100386 small nucleolar RNA SNORA32
UAACAUUUAAAAUGUAAAUAAAAAAUUCCCAUUAGGUUUUCCAUAUGCUACUUGACUAGCAGUUAACCUGUUGGGAACAUUU